rnacentral:rRNA from 1 species
UACGUAGGGGGCAAGCGUUGUCCGGAUUCAUUGGGCGUAAAGCGCGUGUAGGCGGCCAAGUAGGUCUGAUGUGAAAACUCGAGGCUCAACCUCGAGACGUCGUCAGAAACCACUCGGCUAGAGUCCGGAAGAGGAGAGUGGAAUUCCUGGUGUAGCGGUGAAAUGCGCAGAUAUCAGGAAGAACACCAAUGGCGAAGGCAGCUCUCUGGGACGGUACUGACGCUGAGACGCGAAAGCGUGGGGAGCGAACAGG